rnacentral:tRNA from 1 species
UUUGUAUUAUUCUAAGAUAAAGAUUUUUCACUUUCUAUGAAAAGAUACAUGUAUGAUGUAUAUACCAGA